UACGUAGGGGGCUAGCGUUGUCCGGAAUCAUUGGGCGUAAAGCGCGUGUAGGCGGUCCGGUAAGUCCGCUGUGAAAGUCGGGGGCUCAACCCUCGGAUGCCGGUGGAUACUGUCGGGCUUGAGUACGGAAGAGGCGAGUGGAAUUCUCGGUGUAGCGGUGAAAUGCGUAGAUAUCGAGAGGAACACCUGCGGCGAAGGCGGGUUGCUGGGCUGACACUGACGCUGAGGCGCGAAAGCUAGGGGAGCGAACGGG
rnacentral:rRNA from 1 species